rnacentral:rRNA from 1 species
GAUGAACGCUGGCGGCGUGCCUAAUACAUGCAAGUCGAGCGAACGGACGAGAAGCUUGCUUUUCUGAUGUUAGCGGCGGACGGGUGAGUAACACGUGGAUAACCUACCUAUAAGACUGGGAUAACUUCGGGAAACCGGAGCUAAUACCGGAUAAUAUUUUGAACCGCAUGGUUCAUAAGUGAAAGACGGUCUUGCUGUCACUUAUAGAUGGAUCCGCGCUGCAUUAGCUAGUUGGUAAGGUAACGGCUUACCAAGGCAACGAUGCAUAGCCGACCUGAGAGGGUGAUCGGCCACACUGGAACUGAGACACGGUCCAGACUCCUACGGGAGGCAGCAGUAGGGAAUCUUCCGCAAUGGGCGAAAGCCUGACGGAGCAACGCCGCGUGAGCGAUGAAGGUCUUCGGAUUGUAAAACUCUGUUAUUAGGGAAGAACAUAUGUGUAAGUAACUGUGCACAUCUUGACGGUACCUAAUCAGAAAGCCACGGCUAACUACGUG